UACGUAGGGUGCAAGCGUUGUCCGGAAUUAUUGGGCGUAAAGAGCUCGUAGGCGGUUUGUCGCGUCUGCUGUGAAAACCCGAGGCUCAACCUCGGGCCUGCAGUGGGUACGGGCAGACUAGAGUGUGGUAGGGGAGACUGGAAUUCCUGGUGUAGCGGUGAAAUGCGCAGAUAUCAGGAGGAACACCGAUGGCGAAGGCAGGUCUCUGGGCCACUACUGACGCUGAGAAGCGAAAGCAUGGGGAGCGAACAGG
rnacentral:rRNA from 1 species